GAUGAACGCUAGCUACAGGCUUAACACAUGCAAGUCGAGGGGAAACGACAUCGCAAGCUUGCUUUUGAUGGGCGUCGACCGGCGCACGGGUGAGUAACGCGUAUCCAACCUGCCCAUCACUUGGGAAUAACCUUGCGAAAGUAAGACUAAUACCCAAUGAUAUCCCACGAAGGCAUCGGAAUGGGAUUAAAGAUUUAUCGGUGAUGGAUGGGGAUGCGUCUGAUUAGCUUGUUGGCGGGGUAACGGCCCACCAAGGCAACGAUCAGUAGGGGUUCUGAGAGGAAGGUCCCCCACAUUGGAACUGAGACACGGUCCAAACUCCUACGGGAGGCAGCAGUGAGGAAUAUUGGUCAAUGGGCGAGAGCCUGAACCAGCCAAGUAGCGUGCAGGAUGACGGCCCUAUGGGUUGUAAACUGCUUUUAUAAGGGAAUAAAGUGGGUCUCGUGAGACUUUUUGCAUGUACCUUAUGAAUAAGGACCGGCUAAUUCCGUG
rnacentral:rRNA from 1 species